GACGAACGCUGGCGGCGUGCUUAAUACAUGCAAGUCGAACGAAGAAGCUCCAGCUUGCUGGAGUGGAUCAGUGGCGAACGGGUGUGUAACACGUGAGCAACCUGCCCCUGACUCUGGGAUAAGCGCUGGAAACGGCGUAUCAUACUGGAUACGAGAAGGGUCAGCAUGGGCACUUUCUGGAAAGUUGUGCGGUUCGGGAUGGGAUGGCGGCCUAUCAGCUUGUUGGUGAGGUAAUGGCUCACCAAGGCGACGACGGGUAGCCGGCCUGAGAGGGCGACCGGGCACACUGGGACUGAGAGACGGACCAGUCGCGUACGGGAGGCAGCAGUGGGGAAUAUUGCGCAAUGAGCGAGAGCCUGAUGCAGAGACGCCGCGUGAGUGAUGACGUCUUACGGGGUGUAAACCACUUUCUGCAGGGAAGAAGCGAAAGUGACGGUACCUGCAGAAAAAGCACCGGCUAACUACGUG
rnacentral:rRNA from 1 species